rnacentral:misc_RNA from 1 species
UAAUACUCCACCAAGAGAUAGCCAUGUCUCAGCCUGAAUUUCUCAAUGCAUAAUCCAAGUGGGAAAGUGCUACAUGAUUUAAUAAAUUCCCAGUUGGACACUUGAACUAUGUCCAAGUACAUAAGGUUAUAAGGUUGAUUAUUAAAUUUUGUUAGUGUUGUUGCUGAUGGCUCUCUUAGUCCUGGUUGAGCACUUGGACUAUGUCCAAAAGGGCAUUUGGCCUAACAUAUGAAACGGAGCUUAUAAGCAUUAAAUAUUUAUAAGUUAAUAAUCAACCUUAUAACCUUAUGUAC